rnacentral:rRNA from 1 species
AGUUGACCUCGAUCAGUGAUCCCGCUGAACUUAAGCAUAUCAAUAAGCGGAGGA